UCAUGGGUUUGCAUUUAUGGCACGCCCGACCCCCUGAGUCUCUCAGUGCCUCAUGCCAGAGCAACUGUGGCCUUGAACCAUUGCCUGGCUCCUGCCCGUAGGCGGCAGGCACUGAAGCGGGUUGCACAGUG
rfam:Myotis brandtii contig286857, whole genome shotgun sequence.